rnacentral:lncRNA from 10 species
AGUUCGUAAAUUGAGAACUGCUGCUUUAGUUCAUGUUCUAACUCAAGAAUUCCUUAUUUUAAAUCUCUUCCUGAGAGAUAAAUCUCCUCAUUUCCUCCGUCUAGGGGAUGUAGAGGUGAAUGCAGGGCAAAACGCUACAUUUCAGUGCAUUGCCACAGGGAGAGAUGCUGUGCAUAACAAGUUAUGGCUCCAGAGACGAAAUGGAGAAGAUAUACCAGUAGCCCAGACUAAGAACAUCAAUCAUAGAAGGUUUGCCGCUUCCUUCAGAUUGCAAGAAGUGACAAAAACUGACCAGGAUUUGUAUCGCUGUGUAACUCAGUCAGAACGAGGUUCCGGUGUGUCCAAUUUUGCUCAACUUAUUGUGAGAGAACCGCCAAGACCCAUUGCUCCUCCUCAGCUUCUUGGUGUUGGGCCUACAUAUUUGCUGAUCCAACUAAAUGCCAACUCGAUCAUUGGCGAUGGUCCUAUCAUCCUGAAAGAAGUAGAGUACCGAAUGACAUCAGGAUCCUGGACAGAAACCCAUGCAGUCAAUGCUCCAACUUACAAAUUAUGGCAUUUAGAUCCAGAUACCGAAUAUGAGAUCCGAGUUCUACUUACAAGACCUGGUGAAGGUGGAACGGGGCUCCCAGGACCUCCACUAAUCACCAGAACAAAAUGUGCAG